rnacentral:rRNA from 1 species
CUCUUACCCAUGUCUUUUAAGUACCUUACGUUUCCUCGGCGGGUCCGCCCGCCGAUUGGACAAUUUAAACCAUUUGCAGUUGCAAUCAGCGUCUGAAAAAACUUAAUAGUUACAACUUUCAACAACGGAUCUCUUGGUUCUGGCAUCGAUGAAGAACGCAGCGAAAUGCGAUAAGUAGUGUGAAUUGCAGAAUUCAGUGAAUCAUCGAAUCUUUGAACGCACAUUGCGCCCCUUGGUAUUCCAUGGGGCAUGCCUGUUCGAGCGUCAUUUGUACCUUCAAGCUCUGCUUGGUGUUGGGUGUUUGUCUCGCCUCUGCGUGUAGACUCGCCUCAAAACAAUUGGCAGCCGGCGUAUUGAUUUCGGAGCGCAGUACAUCUCGCGCUUUGCACUCAUAACGACGACGUCCAAAAGUACAUUUUUACACUCUUGACCUCGGAUCAGGUAGGGAUACCCGCUGAACUUAAGC